GUGAGGAAUAUUGGACAAUGGAUGGAAAUCUGAUCCAGCCAUGCCGCGUGCAGGAAGGCGGCCCUAUGGGUUGUAAACUGCUUUUGUACGGGAGCAAUAAGGUCUACGAGUAGAUUGAUGAGAGUACUGUACGAAUAAGCAUCGGCUAACUCCGUGCCAGCAGCCGCGGUAAUACGGAGGAUGCGAGCGUUAUCCGGAUUUAUUGGGUUUAAAGGGUGCGUAGGCUGUUAUGUAAGUCAGUGGUAAAAGGUACAGGCUUAACUUGUAUAUGCCAUUGAAACUGUAUAGCUAGGAUAUGGAUGAAGUGUGCGGAAUGUGUGGUGUAGCGGUGAAAUGCAUAGAUAUCACACAGAACACCGAUAGCGAAGGCAGCACACUAAGGCAAUAUUGACGCUGAGGCACGAAAGUGUGGGGAUCAAACAGGAUUAGAAACCCUAGUAGUCC
rnacentral:rRNA from 1 species